GAUGAACGCUGGCGGCGUGCCUAAAACAUGCAAGUCAUACGGUCCACUUCGGUGGACAGUGGCAAACGGGUGAGUAACACGUGGGAACACGCCUUCGAGUGGGGAAUAACGCUGAGAAAUCAGUGCUAAUACCGCAUGUGGUAGCAAUACUAAAGCAGUAAUGCGCUCGGAGAGUGGCCCGCGGUCGAUUAGCUAGUUGGUGGGGUAAUGGCCUACCAAGGCUGCGAUCGAUAGCUGGUCUGAGAGGAUGGUCAGCCACACUGGGACUGAGAGACGGCCCAGACUCCUACGGGAGGCAGCAGUGGGGAAUAUUGGACAAUGGGCGCAAGCCUGAUCCAGCAAUGCCGCGUGAGUGAGGAAGGCCUUAGGGUUGUAAAGCUCUUUCGCACGCGACGAUGAUGACGGUAGCGUGAGAAGAAGCCCCGGNUAACUUCGUGCCAGCCGCCGCGGUAAC
rnacentral:rRNA from 1 species